CGAGAGGGCUACUAAGUGACUAAUGGGUGGAUAGUGUAUACAGUGUGGAUACACUGGACAAAGGGAUGAUUCAUGUCCUGAACGGAACCGAGCAGGAUGCUGUGAGAGUUUAUCACACUACUCAGAAUGGAGUGCAAUUUAAAACUUGUGAAUUGUUUACUUCUGGAAUUUUCCAUUUAAUAUUUUCAGACCAUGGUCAGCUGUGGAUAACUGAACCCGUGGAAAGUGAAACUGCGAAUAAGGAAGGACUACCGUGACUCCCUCUGCAAUCUUCAUUGCCACUUCCCAUGUGACAAGACGUAUUCAUAAACCUUUGCGGCCCAGUAUUUUGCCUACCACAAGACAAAUGGAAUCACCUCUGUAAAAGGAUCUCUAAAGAUGCUGAAUUUAAUUUGCAGCUCAUAGAUUCACAGACACGAAGGUUUGGGCAGGAUUGAAUCUAUAAUUUCACAGAUUAUGAUCUGGUGUAAGAAUGUUUCGUUCCACAUCUACCAGGUGGAUUUGUCUCAUCUGGCUGACUGGCCACGAAUCCCCUCCCAACCCACAGCUUUUAGUAAUUCACCCUCAAGGGUGAGAGCUCAACCCAACAUGGCUUCUCGGAGGAAAGAUGCCAGAUGGCAUACAACUUGGAUCAUAAGCAUCAGGAUUCUAGGGGAAAGGACAAGGAAGAUGAUUGGCCAACUUCUCUCCCUUUCCACCAGUCCUUUUACUUGGGAAAUAGUACAGAAAAACCUAACCACACGCUCUGUUUAUUUAGAUUAACGUGGAAUCUAUGCAUCUGAUAAGUUAGCC
rnacentral:lncRNA from 1 species